rnacentral:lncRNA from 1 species
UUUCUUUAAUUGGUGAGAAAAUCGCUGAUGCGAACUUGGUAGUGCUAUUAAAAGCACUUUGUGCAUUUUCUAUUGUUGGGAAGAGAGACGUGUUGGGGCAAUCCGGCACGUCACGCUUACUAAUACGGCCCGACUGCCCCUAUACUUUGAUCGAUCGACCGUAUUUGCAUAGGGCCUUGCACAUCGCGUUGGGGUUGCGCCGCUAGAGUGAAGGGCUGGGUGCUGGAGAGGGGCUGUGUGGCAGCGACGCAAGAGAGAGAUUGUUGCACGCUGGAAGUCGGUGGAGUAUGGAGAUGGAGCUGCAACAAUGGAGAGAGGGGUUGCAGCUAGAUCGGAGUUGUUUUGCUCUGGAGGUGAGGCGAUGCGAUGCGGCGGCUCUAGAAGUCUGACGACACUGCUGGGUUGAAGGAACAGUGCUUCAUGCUGGUGCUAUGUUCUUAUCCAUGCAUUUGAUUUCAAUAAAUCCGAUGGAUGAGAGAAAGUUGGGGAGUAAGGAAAGGAAGAGAUAGUAGCAGCUAAGGUUUUGAAUUUUAAAAAGAAUAAAUAUAUGUGUAGAAUUAAUGAAGUAAAUAAAUUAAAAAGGAAAACAAUG